rnacentral:rRNA from 1 species
AGAGUUUGAUCAUGGCUCAGGAUGAACGCUGGCGGUAUGCCUAACACAUGCAAGUCGAACGAUGUCUUCGGACAUAGUGGCGGACGGGUGAGUAACGCGUGAGAAUCUGCCUCUAGGAUGGGGAUAACGGUUGGAAACGACCGCUAACACCCAAUAUGCCGUAAGGUGAAAAAUUUAUUGCCUGGAGAGGAGCUCGCGUCUGAUUAGCUAGUUGGUGGGGUAAGAGCUCACCAAGGCUUCGAUCAGUAGCUGGUCUGAGAGGAUGAGCAGCCACACUGGGACUGAGACACGGCCCAGACUCCUACGGGAGGCAGCAGUGGGGAAUUUUCCGCAAUGGGCGAAAGCCUGACGGAGCAAUACCGCGUGAGGGAGGAAUGCCUUUGGGUUGUAAACCUCUUUUCUCAGGGAAGAAGAUCUGACGGUACCUGAGGAAUAAGUAUCGGCUAACUCCGUGCCAGCAGCCGCGGUAAUACGGAGGAUGCAAGCGUUAUCCGGAAUCAUUGGGCGUAAAGCGUCCGCAGGUGGUUUCCAAAGUCUGCUGUUAAAGACUGGAGCUCAACUCCGGAACGGCGGUGGAAACUUGGAAACUAGAGUUCGGUAGGGGUAGCAGGAAUUCCCAGUGUAGCGGUGAAAUGCGUAGAUAUUGGGAAGAACAUCGGUGGCGAANGCGUGCUACUGGACCGUAACUGACACUCANGGACGAAAGCUAGGGGAGCGAAAGGGAUUAGAUACCCCUGUAGUCCUAGCUGUAAACGAUGGAAACUANGUGUGG